rnacentral:rRNA from 1 species
CCUACGGGAGGCAGCAGUGAGGAAUAUUGGUCAAUGGACGGGAGUCUGAACCAGCCAUGUCGCGUGCAGGAAGACGGCCCUAUGGGUUGUAAACUUCUUUUGUACGGGGGUAAACCUUUAUACGUGUGUUCUUCUGUAAGUACUCUACGAAUAAGGAUCGGCUAACUCCGUGCCAGCAGCCGCGGUAAUACGGAGGAUCCAAGCGUUAUCCGGAUUUAUUGGGUUUAAAGGGUGCGUAGGAGGAUUGUUAAGUCAGAUGUGAAAUGUUCCGGCUUAACCCGGGAAUUGCCGUUGAUACUGGGGGUCUUGAGAGUAGUUGAGGUAGGCGGAAUGCAUGGUGUAGCGGUGAAAUGCUUAGAUAUCACGAAGAACACCGAUUGCGAAGGCAGCUCACCAAACUACAUCUGACGCUGAGGCACGAAAGCGUGGGGAGCAAACAGGAUUAGAUACCCUGGUAGUC